AGAGUUUGAUCAUGGCUCAGAACGAACGCUGGCGGCGUGGAUAAGACAUGCAAGUCGAACGGGUUUAGUUCGGUAGCAAUACUGGAUUGAGCCAGUGGCGAACGGGUGCGUAACACGUGAGUCAUCUGCCUGAAAGUGGGGGAUAGCUCGCCGAAAGGCGAAUUAAUACCGCAUGUGCCCCGAAGCAAUUCGGGGUAAAGCCGGGGUAACCUGGCGCUUUUAGAGGAACUCGCGGCCUAUCAGCUUGUUGGUAAGGUAACGGCUUACCAAGGCUUCGACGGGUAGCUGGUCUGAGAGGACGACCAGCCACACUGGAACUGAGACACGGUCCAGACACCUACGGGUGGCAGCAGUCGAGAAUUUUUCUCAAUGGGGGAAACCCUGAAGGAGCGACGCCGCGUGGAGGAUGAAUGCUUUCGGGUUGUAAACUCCUGUCAUUUGGGAACAAAGCCUUACGUUAACUGCGUGGAGGUUUGAUAGUACCAGAAGAGGAAGAGACGGCUAACUCUGUGCCAGCAGCCGCGGUAAUACAGAGGUCUCAAGCGUUGUUCGGAUUCAUUGGGCGUAAAGGGCGCGUAGGCUGCGGGGCAAGUCGGGUGUGAAAUCUCAGAGCUCAACUCUGAAACUGCACUCGAUACUGCUUUGCUUGAGGACUGGAGAGGAGAUUGGAAUUCACGGUGUAGCAGUGAAAUGCGUAGAUAUCGUGAGGAAGACCAGUGGCGAAGGCGGAUCUCUGGACAGUUCCUGACGCUGAGGCGCGAAGGCCAGGGGAGCAAACGGGAUUAGAUACCCUAGUAGUCC
rnacentral:rRNA from 1 species